rnacentral:lncRNA from 1 species
ACUCGAUGGCUAUUUUGGAAAGCUUGCUGCCGGUAGCAAGGCUGUGAUUAUGGGCAGUCCUGAUAAAGCACAGAAAUGGCAUGUUUACUCUGCCUCUGCAGGACCUAUUCAGUCUAAUGACCCUGUUUACACUCUUGAGAUGUGUAUGACUGGUUUGGACAGGGAGAAGGCAUCUGUCUUUUACAAGACUGAAGGAAGCUCGGCUGCUCAUAUGACUGUUCGAUCUGGAAUAAGGAAGAUCCUCCCCAAUUCUGAGAUAUGUGAUUUUGAGUUUGAACCCUGUGGUUAUUCUGCUCAUAUGACCGUUCAAUCUGGAAUAAGGAAGAUCCUCCCCAAUUCUGAGAUAUGCGAUUUUGAGUUUGAACCCUGUGGUUAUUCCAUGAAUUCAAUUGAAGGAGCUGCACUCUCAACCAUUCACAUUACCCCGGAAGAUGGCUUUAGCUAUGCUAGCUUUGAAGCAGUUGGGUAUGAUAUGAAAACCAUGAAGCUGGGUCCCCUGGUUGAGAGGGUGCUGGCAUGUUUCGAGCCAGAUGAGUUCUCUAUUGCUUUGCAUGCUGAUAUUGCUACCAAGUUACUGGAGCGUGUUUGCUCUGUUGAUGUGAAAGGCUACUCUCUUGCUGAGUGGAGUCCAGAAGAAUUUGGCAAGGGUGGUUCCAUUGUCUACCAGAAGUUCACCAGAACUCCUUUCUGUGGAUCUCCCAAGUCCGUUCUGAAGGGCUGCUGGAAAGAAGAUGAAGAGAAAGAAGAAAAGGAGUAGUGUCUUGAGGGCCGUGUUGUUUUUUGUUUCAGUGUCUGUGUCUGUCAGUGUCCGUGUCCGUGUCCGUGUCCGUGUCCGUGUCGUUUGUUUUUCCAUGUUUCUCAGAAUAAAGGGUUUCAGUGUCCGUGUCUGUCUCUGUCCGUGUCAGUGUCUGUCCGUGUCAUUUGUUUUUCCAUGUUUUUCAGAAUAAAGGACUUGAUGUCCAAGCUGGGGUGUCGUUCGGAUUUGUAAUGCUGAUAUGUGAACUAUUCUUGUCUUUUUGGUGUUCCACCAGAAGCCCUAUGAAUUUGUAUUUUGAAUUAUCCUCUGUUCGUGUUCCGUUGUUUCAAUUAAACGUCUGGUUGUGUGUAUUUCUUGCCCUACCCAAAUUGUGAUAUGUGUUUGUUUUAUUUCCUGUUAUUUAUUUGAUAUUGCAAAGUAGCUAUUUUUCAUUAAUGCGCUAGUCGCUGGCAGCCAAAGAUGUGCCUGCAUACUCCACACUAACAGAAGAUAUGUAUACUUCUGUCAAUUCAGAAUUAAUGAAUAAUUUAGAGAAACAAAAGCUAUUUAGUCAUCUAGAUGACAUAACGAAUCUUAAACAGGAGAAGGGUGUAGCGUUUUGUGAACUCCAGUCUCGAAGGUAUAUUUUGACAACGCCUCAAACUUUACUGGACCUUUUAACUAAAUUUUAAGCUAUAUUUUCUGCAGUUCUUAGGUAAGUAUCUUUCUUUCUUUGUUAUUCAAGCAUUUAUAAGUUUUCAAUUGCAUAGAGGGAUUGGUAGGAAAGGGAAUAGUGAGAAUCAAAUCUACACCUAUACGAAUCAAAGUUUGCAUCUUACACAGACUAAAAUAUAACGUCGCCUAUUAUAUAGUUAGCAUCGCCAACCGAGAGGUUGUGAGUUCGAGUCUCCCCAAGAGCAAGGUGGGAAGUUCUUGGAGGGAAGGAUGUCGGGGGUCUAUUUGGAAACAGCCUCUUUACCCAAGGGUAGGGGUAAGGUAUGCGUACACACUACCCUCCCCAGACCCUACUAAGUGGGAUUAUACUGGGUUGUUGUUUUAUUAUAUAGUUAACACUUAACACCACUAAUAGAAAAUCGAAACUAUUAACCUUAGAACUUUGCUAGCUGGGUCAUUUGAAUGGACAGAAUUCUCCCUGCAAUAUAUAGUUCUUGUUCAAGGUAGCUCGCACAAUACACCCGUUGUUAGUGAUAUACCUAUUUAUUUGACUUCUAUGUGUCCUUUUAGCAUUGUGAUCUUCCCUGAGCAUUUGCCUUCAACUAAACAAUCUGUUGAGCCUCCAUUCUUUACCUUUACGAAGC